GGACGGGUGAGUAACACGUAAGAAUUUGCCUCUAGGAGGGGGAUAACAACUGGAAACGGUUGCUAAUACCCCAUAUGCUUUCGAGUGAAAUGGUUUUCCGCCUAGAGAGAAGCUUGCGGCUGAUUAGCUUGUUGGUAAGGUAAUGGCUUACCAAGGCGACGAUCAGUAUCUGGUUUGAGAGGACGAUCAGACACACUGGAACUGAGACACGGUCCAGACUCCUACGGGAGGCAGCAGUGGGGAAUUUUCCGCAAUGGGCGAAAGCCUGACGGAGCAAUCUCGCGUGAGGGAUGACGGCCUAUGGGUUGUAAACCUCUUUUUUCAGGGAGGAAUAAAUGACGUGUACCUGAAGAAUAAGCAUCGGCUAACUCCGUGCCAGCAGCCGCGGUAAGACGGAGGAUGCAAGUGUUAUCCGGAAUCACUGGGCGUAAAGCGUCUGUAGGUGGUUUAAUAAGUCAACUGUUAAAUCUUGAAGCUCAACUUCAAAAUCGCAGUCGAAACUAUUAGACUAGAGUAUAGUAGGGGUAAAGGGAAUUUCCAGUGGAGCGGUGAAAUGCGUAGAGAUUGGAAAGAACACCGAUGGCGAAGGCACUUUACUGGGCUAUUACUGACACUCAGAGACGAAAGCUAGGGUAGCAAAUGGGAUUAGAUACCCCAGUAGUCCUAGCCGUAAACAAUGGAUACUAGAUGUUGAACAGAUCGACCUGUGCAGUAUUAAAGCUAACGCGUUAAGUAUCCCGCCUGGGAAGUAUGCUCGCAAGAGUGAAACUCAAAGGAAUUGACGGG
rnacentral:rRNA from 1 species